rnacentral:rRNA from 1 species
GUAGGUGGCAAGCGUUGUCCGGAAUUAUUGGGCGUAAAGCGCGCGCAGGCGGUUCUUUAAGUCUGAUGUGAAAGCCCACGGCUCAACCGUGGAAGGUCAUUGGAAACUGGAGAACUUGAGUACAGAAGAGGAAAGCGGAAUUCCACGUGUAGCGGUGAAAUGCGUAGAGAUGUGGAGGAACACCAGUGGCGAAGGCGGCUUUCUGGUCUGUAACUGACGCUGAGGCGCGAAAGCGUGGGGAGCAAACAGGAUUAGAUACCCUGGUAGUCCACGCCGUAAACGAUGAGUGCUAAGUGUUAGGGGGGUUUUCCGCCCCCCUUAGUGCUGCAGCUAACGCAUUAAGCACUCCGCCUGGGAGUACGGCCGCAAGGCUG